rnacentral:rRNA from 1 species
GACGAACGCUGGCGGCGUGCUUAACACAUGAAAGUCGAACGAAGUGGCGAACGGGUGAGUAACGCGUAAUCAACCUGCCCUUCAGAGGGGGACAACAGUUGGAAACGACUGCUAAUAACGCAUACAGAAGGAGGGGAUGGCGUCGGAUUAGCUAGUGGGAGGGGUAACGGCCCACCAAUGCGAGGCUCAGUAGCCGGUCUGAGAGGAUGAACGGCGCCAUUGGGACGGCGACACGGCCCAGACCCCUACGGGAGGCAGCAGUUGGGAAUCUUCCGCAAUGGACGAAAGUCUGACGGAGCAACGCCGCGUGAGUGAUGACGGCCUUCGGGUUGUAAAGCUCUGUUAAUCGGGACGCGGUACCGGAAUAGAAAGCCACGGCUAACUACGUGCCAGCAGCCGCGGUAAUUC